rnacentral:lncRNA from 1 species
ACCUUUCCGAGAAGCGAGCAGAAUUUCGAAAAAAAAAAGACGUCUGCUGGUGAUGUGUGCAUAGUAAACGUCAUGAAAUUUCCGCAGACGCUGAAGCCGUAGACGAAACUUUUCAGCCGGCAUUCGGGAGGUCCUGACUGCUGACUACGCUUCGAAAACCAUCCCAUGGAUGAACUUGACAAGUGGAACGACUGCAGUCGAAGUUUCAGCACACUAAAUAUUUUAUUGCAAACAGGGUAGCGAAUUGUCGAAGAACUGAAUAUUUAUUUCACAGUCACUGUCACUACAACGUCUCAGCGAAUGACUCCACGAAAGCCAAUUUUUGCAUUUGAAGUUGUUUCUAGGCUGUUUUCCAUGACUCGUGUUCCUUGUUAAUUGCUGACUAGCAUUGAGCACUGUACGUUUCACUACUUUGUUUUAUUGUAUUGACACUGUACAUUAGAUAAAGAUAUACUUAGUUAUUGUUGUGAGUGUGGAUAGUUCACGUUUGGUGUUGUCUUGU